rnacentral:rRNA from 1 species
AGUCAAUAGAUACCCAGGUAGUCCUAGCCGUAAACGAUACUCGCUAGGUGUCGGCCACGGUGCGACCGUUGUCGGUGCCGUAGGGAAAGCCGUGAAGCGAGCCACCUGGGAAGUACGGCCGCAAGGCUGAAACUUAAAGGAAUUGGCGGGGGAGCACCACAACGGGUGGAGCUUGCGGUUUAAAUUGGAUUCAACGCCGGAAAUCUUACCGGGACCGACAGCAACAUGAAGGCCAGGCUGAAGACUUUGCCGGAUUAGCUGAGAGGUGGUGCAUGGCCGUCGUCAGUUCGUACUGUGAAGCAUCCUGUUAAGUCAGGCAACGAGCGAGACCCACGCCCACAGUUGCCAGCGUACUCUCCGGAGUGACGGGUACACUGUGGGGACCGCCGCUGCUAAAGCGGAGGAAGGAAUGGGCAACGGUAGGUCAGUACGCCCCGAAUAUCCCGGGCUACACGCGAGCUACAAUGGUUGGUACAAUGGGUAUCUACCCCGAAGGGGGUAUGGAAAUCUCCUGAAGCCAAUCUUAGUUCGGAUUGAGGGCUGCAACUCGCCCUC